UAUGGAGGGUGCAAGCGUUAUCCGGAUUCACUGGGUUUAAAGGGUGCGUAGGUGGAAUGGUAAGUCAGUGGUGAAAUCUCCAAGCUUAACUUGGAAACUGCCGUUGAUACUAUCAUUCUUGAAUAUCGUGGAGGUAAGCGGAAUAUGUCAUGUAGCGGUGAAAUGCUUAGAUAUGACAUAGAACACCGAUUGCGAAGGCAGCUUGCUACACGAUCAUUGACACUGAGGCACGAAAGCGUGGGGAUCAAACAGG
rnacentral:rRNA from 1 species